rnacentral:lncRNA from 1 species
GCCCGUCGUCAUACAUUUAUUGUUAAACUAUUGCGGUGAUUCAGCCAAACAAAUUUGAUUUUUUUCUUUAUUCUUUCUUGUCCGAUACUUAUCAACUGCUAUUAAGUCUUACAGGGUGUAAUUUAUAGGUUGACAUUGGUCUGACCAACAUACAAGUCCUUGUCGUUGGAUGUGCUUGGAAUAAAUCGUUUGCACAUUUUUUGUCUGUGUUCCAAUUUAAAUCAUUAAUGUCUUAAAUCAAAGAAAAUACUUUUUUGCAAAAAUGUGCAAAGUCGUUUUGUUAUUUUCUGUCUCCUAAGGCCAAAAUUUAAAGCUUUUGUUUACUUGAGGCGGACUCCCAAAUGCCAACUUCCGGUCCAUUUUGAAAUUUAAAUAAUAACC